UUUCCUCCGUUUCUCUCUGUUUUCUCCUCUCAUUUGUUCUUGAGUGGAGAUUAUCAAUUAAGCAGCAGCAUGUAAAGAUCAGAGAUGGCGGCACCUUUCACGUUGAGGAAAAUCGGAGUCCCGCCGAACUCAGCGAACCUGACGGAAGCUCGACGCCGUGUAUUCGACUUCUUCAGAGCUGCGAGUAGAUCCCUCCCCACCGUAAUGGACAUUUACAAUCUUCAAGAUGUCGUCGCGCCUUCUCAGCUACGUUUCGCAAUAACGCUCACGUCAUUGAUCCUAAGCCAAGAACAUUAUUCUCGCUGGUGUGAAGUCAGUGACUCUUCACGAUGAAAAUGUGGUUGAGCUAUGGGACUUGUCUAGUAACUUUGUUUUCUCGGAGGAGGACGUUGGUAAGAAUAGGGCACUUGCUUCUCUUCAGAAGCUGCAAGAACUCCACAAUGCCGUGAAUGUCUCAAACUUUGACCGACAAGUUAACCAAAGAGCAGCUUUCUUGUUUCCAGUUUCUUCCACGGCUAUGAUCACCUGCUACGCGAAGCAAGGGAACGUUGAGGCUGCGAGGGAUUUGUUCGAAAGAGUGCCUGAGACUGAGAGAGACAUUGUUUCUUGGAACGUGAUGAUCGAUGGAUACGCUCAACAUGGCUUUCCCAGCGAAGCUCUGAUGCUUUUCCAAAAACUGUUGGCCAAAGGAAACGCAUCGACCUAAACGGUGCAGCAUAGCAAUGUGAACGCAUGUGUAAGCUACACAAACGUAUAGGAAUGUGAACACAUGUGUGACUAAUUGCAUAGCAGAGAGGACAUGAUGUUUAUUUUAUUAUCUUUUUUAACAUUCUGGUUUCACAUCAUGUACUUGCAGUUGGGAAUAGCGAUUGUUAAUGACUUCAAAAGUAUUGAAGGAGGCAGAGCAAUGUGACUUCAGUCUCUCCCAAUAGCUUUUGGCACUGAGGCUGCAAAAUGGAUAUGCGUUAGUGCUAUAGACGUUACUCAGCUCUCUGUUGCCGGUGCGUUUACGCGGGGUCGUUGACGAAAUUGUUGCUUUAUAUAAAUAAUUUGGAGAUAUUGUGCUGUGAAGUGGUCUUUCGCAUGUGAAUAUUUGUAAUUUUAUUGGAUUUAUGGUGAGGUAAGACGCUGCGCUAGCAUGUUCUAGAGAGAAGACGCUGUAACAGAGAGAAACAAUGCAACUCCGAGGUCAAUGCAUCAUGACAAACAGUUCUAUGUAGAGUGCGAUUGAGAGAGAGAAUGAUUCAACCGUAACCGGCACAUUUAGUUUAGUGGGAUAAUAAAUAUUUCGUAGGUAGCGUUUAGUGGGAUUCUAUUGUACUCUUUGAUAUACACUUCUCCGCAAAUAUUUUUAUAAUGAUGAGUAAUUCAGCAAAAUCUUUGUUCUUUUUUUAUUAUAAUGGUUCUU